CACAGCUGGUGGAGUCAAAGGCACCUUGACACUUUCAUAAAUUUGACCCCCACACUGGCAUGCAACCUUGCGUGCCAAUGAGUAAACUCAUCGUAAACUG